rnacentral:rRNA from 1 species
UUUCCCUCAGGAUAGCUGGCACUCGCUUGAGCGAGUCUCAUCUGGUAAAGCGAAUGAUUAGAGGCCUUGGGGCCGAAACGACCUCAACCUAUUCUCAAACUUUAAAUGGGUGAGACCUCUGGCUUGCUUGAACGUUGAAGCCAAGAGAUUUUAUUGCAAAAUGGAUCAGAGUGCCAAGUGGGCCAAUUUUGGUAAGCAGAACUGGCGCUGUGGGA